rnacentral:rRNA from 1 species
GAUGAACGCUGGCGGCGUGCCUAAUACAUGCAAGUCGAGCGAAUGGAUUAAGAGCUUGCUCUUAUGAAGUUAGCGGCGGACGGGUGAGUAACACGUGGGUAACCUGCCCAUAAGACUGGGAUAACUCCGGGAAACCGGGGCUAAUACCGGAUAACAUUUUGAACCGCAUGGUUCGAAAUUGAAAGGCGGCUUCGGCUGUCACUUAUGGAUGGACCCGCGUCGCAUUCGCUAGUUGGUGGGGUAACGGCUCACCAAGGCAACGAUGCGUAGCCGACCUGAGAGGGUGAUCGGCCACACUGGGACUGAGACACGGCCCAGAUUCCUACGGGAGGCAGCAGUAGGGAAUCUUCCGCAAUGGACGAAAGUCUGACGGAGCAACGCCGCGUGAGUGAUGAAGGCUUUCGGGUCGUAAAACUCUGUUGUUAGGGAAGAACAAGUGCUAGUUGAAUAAGCUGGCACCUUGACGGUACCUAACCAGAAAGCCACGGCUAACUACGUGCCAGCCGCCGCAGUAA